UUGACCUCGGAUCAGGUAGGACUACCCGCUGAACUUAAGCAUAUCAAUAAGCGGAGGAAAAGAAACCAACAGGGAUUGCCUCAGUAACGGCGAGUGAAGCGGCAACAGCUCAAAUUUGAAAUCUGGCCCUUUCGGGUCCGAGUUGUAAUUUGUAGAGGAUGUUUUGGGCACCGCUGCGGUGUAAAUUUCUUGGAACAGAAUGUCAAAGAGGGUGAGAACCCCGUCUUGGACCGCAGUAGGACCUAUGUAAAGCUCCUUCGACGAGUCGAGUUGUUUGGGAAUGCAGCUCAAAAUGGGUGGUAAAUUUCAUCUAAAGCUAAAUAUUGGCCAGAGACCGAUAGCGCACAAGUAGAGUGAUCGAAAGAUGAAAAGCACUUUGAAAAGAGAGUUAAACAGUAUGUGAAAUUGUUGAAAGGGAAGCGCUGGCAACCAGACUCGAGCGCGGGGUUCCCCCUUCCUUCUGGUUGGGUCACUUCCCCGUGUCCGGGCCAUCAUCAGUUUUGGGGGCCGGUUAAAGACUUCGGGAAUGUAUCCACCCUUUCGGGGGUGGACUUAUAGCCCGGGGUGUCAUGCGGCCUCCCGGGACUGAGGAACGCGCUUCGGCGAGGAUGAUGGCGUAAUGGUUGUCAGCGACCCGUCUUGAAACACGGACCAAGGAGUCUAACAUCUAUGCGAGUGUUCGGGUGUCAAACCCUUGCGCGGAAUGAAAGUGAACGGAGGUAGGAAGGCCUGAGCCUGCACUAUCGACCGAUCCUGAUGUCUUCGGAUGGAUUUGAGUAAGAGCAUAGCUGUUGGGACCCGAAAGAUGGUGAACUAUGCGUGAAUAGGGUGAAGCCAGAGGAAACUCUGGUGGAGGCUCGCAGCGGUUCUGACGUGCAAAUCGAUCGUCAAAUUUGCGUAUAGGGGCG
rnacentral:rRNA from 1 species